GCCAACUUCCAUAAUAAUUUAGAUUCAGUAUCUCGAACAGGAAAGACAGAACAUCUCAAAUCAUACAAACUCUAGCCCUAAUUUCACCGAUAAUCAACCGUACCAGGGUCUGUCACUCACUUGCAGUAGCGAUCGGCCUUCUUCUUAACGCGAUCAUCAAGCGCCUGCUCCACAGAUCUAGCUUUUGUCCGCUCCUUAUUGGCGGGAUCGUACCUGAACUUCUUCGCCUCUACAGGGAACAGCUCCUCGUACUUCAUCUUCCUUGCCGCGUCGAUCGUGUACACGUCCUCUCCGG
rnacentral:misc_RNA from 1 species